rnacentral:misc_RNA from 1 species
GGAACGUGAUCAAACGAAUGUCACUCCUACCGUAUGCCAUGGCCUUUACAAUUUAUUUUUAAAUCGUGGCCUAUGUUGCAUCGCUAACCCCACAAGGAAGCCACGGCCAUAAAAAAAGGAAUAAUAGUAGUAGUAGUAGUGCAGUUUAUAUUUUUUAAAUGCACUUGUAAUGCGAUAACGAAGAGUUUACAGCGGUUUACGGAGAUUCUGUUUGCCGCCAGUUUGCUUAGGUUAUAUUUUUUAGCAGGUUAUAUUUUUUAGUUUGACAUCGAGUUACGAUAUGUCAAAGUCGAUAUGGGCUUUACUGUGCAUUCUUCAAACUUGUUUCGUGGGAAAUACGAUUGGUUCGAUAGGUGAUAAAUCGCAGAUAUAUCAUCAAUGUUUAACGCUGUGUCGCAAUAAUAACUGCAAAGAUGAUACAAGUUUUAAGCAACAGCCUUCCUUAUCGCUAAUUUUGCUGAAUUGGUCCUGCAAGGAAGAUUGCAGUUAUAUUUGUAUGUGGAGGACUGUUGAUUAUUUUGUAUCUCAGGGUUUGAAGAUACCACAAUUUCAUGGAAAAUGGCCAUUCAUUCGCCUGCUUGGAUGUCAAGAACCUGCUUCAGUUUUAUUUUCUAUAUUAAAUUUUUAUGCACAUUGGAUAAUGUAUCGGAAAUUUAGAAGAAAGAUAGAUCGAGCUAAUCCUAUGUUUUACACUUGGAUAUAUUUCAGUAUCAUAUGCCUAAAUGGAUGGUUUUGGUCAAUCAUAUUCCAUUCACGAGACAGGCCAUUUACAGAAGCUAUGGAUUAUUCAUGCGCAUUUAGUAUGGUACUUACACUUUUAUACUGCAUGCUCUUAAGGAUAAUGAAUAGAAAGAAUAAAGCAUUUAUUAUAAUAACUUGCGGAUAUGUAAGCAUUUUGUGCAUACACUUAUCGCAUUUGUGGUCAGGCAGAAUUAACUAUGGUUAUAAUAUGGUAUUUAAUGUAGCGAUAGGAUUGAUAACUGUCGCGAUAACGACAUUGUGGUGGUAUUUUAGCCGCGACAAGUUGCCUCACGUGUACUUACUUGCUUGGUUCAAUAUAUUGACCAUUUUUGUGACUACACUCGAAUUGGCAGAUUUUCCUCCUAUUUUUUGGAUAUUUGAUGCUCAUUCCUUGUGGCACGCUAGUACGGUUCCUUUAACGAUAUUAUUGUAUAGAUUUAUGAUUAUAGAUUGCUACUAUCUGAAAACAUAUCGCAAUAUGUCAUUUCUAGAUAUCGAUGAUGGUCAUAGGCAAUGAAAUUUUUUCGUAAUGCUAGUACAUAGCGCUAAUUUACAUACUUCUUGGAUGAAUAUUCGAGAUAAGGAUUAUCAUCUCUGUGCUUUUCGAGAUUUCCAGAUAAAGUUGGAUCCGGCCGUCGCCUUUUGAAGAAGCCUACUU